rnacentral:rRNA from 1 species
GGAUGAACGCUGGCGGCGUGCCUAAUACAUGCAAGUCGAACGCUUUGUGGUUCAACUGAUUUGAAGAGCUUGCUCAGAUAUGACGAUGGACAUUGCAAAGAGUGGCGAACGGGUGAGUAACACGUGGGAAACCUACCUCUUAGCAGGGGAUAACAUUUGGAAACAGAUGCUAAUACCGUAUAACAAUGACAACCGCAUGGUUGUUAUUUCAAAGAUGGUUCUGCUAUCACUAAGAGAUGGUCCCGCGGUGCAUUAGCUAGUUGGUAAGGUAAUGGCUUACCAAGGCGAUGAUGCAUAGCCGAGUUGAGAGACUGAUCGGCCACAAUGGGACUGAGACACGGCCCAUACUCCUACGGGAGGCAGCAGUAGGGAAUCUUCCACAAUGGGCGAAAGCCUGAUGGAGCAACGCCGCGUGUGUGAUGAAGGGUUUCGGCUCGUAAAACACUGUUGUAAGAGAAGAAUGACAUUGAGAGUAACUGUUCAAUGUGUGACGGUAUCUUACCAGAAAGGAACGGCUAAAUACGUGCCAGCAGCCGCGGUAAUACGUAUGUUCCAAGCGUUAUCCGGAUUUAUUGGGCGUAAAGCGAGCGCAGACGGUUAUUUAAGUCUGAAGUGAAAGCCCUCAGCCCAACUGAGGAAUUGCUUUGGAAACUGGAUGACUUGAGUGCAGUAGAGGAAAGUGGAACUCCAUGUGUAGCGGUGAAAUGCGUAGAUAUAUGGAAGAACACCAGUGGCGAAGGCGGCUUUCUGGACUGUAACUGACGUUGAGGCUCGAAAGUGUGGGUAGCAAACAGGAUUAGAUACCCUGGUAGUCCACACCGUAAACGAUGAGUGCUAGGUGUUUGAGGGUUUCCGCCCUUAAGUGCCGCAGCUAACGCAUUAAGCACUCCGCCUGGGGAGUACGACCGCAAGGUUGAAACUCAAAGGAAUUGACGGGGACCCGCACAAGCGGUGGAGCAUGUGGUUUAAUUCGAAGCAACGCGAAGAACCUUACCAGGUCUUGACAUCCCUUGACAACUCCAGAGAUGGAGCGUUCCCUUCGGGGACAAGGUGACAGGUGGUGCAUGGUUGUCGUCAGCUCGUGUCGUGAGAUGUUGGGUUAAGUCCCGCAACGAGCGCAACCCUUAUUACUAGUUGCCAGCAUUCAGUUGGGCACUCUAGUGAGACUGCCGGUGACAAACCGGAGGAAGGUGGGGAUGACGUCAAAUCAUCAUGCCCCUUAUGACCUGGGCUACACACGUGCUACAAUGGCGUAUACAACGAGUUGCCAACCCGCGAGGGUGAGCUAAUCUCUUAAAGUACGUCUCAGUUCGGAUUGUAGGCUGCAACUCGCCUACAUGAAGUCGGAAUCGCUAGUAAUCGCGGAUCAGCACGCCGCGGUGAAUACGUUCCCGGGUCUUGUACUCACC